UACGUAGGGUGCGAGCGUUAAUCGGAAUUACUGGGCGUAAAGCGUGCGCAGGCGGUUCGUUAAGUCAGCUGUGAAAGCCCCGGGCUCAACCUGGGAAUUGCGGUUGAAACUGGCGGACUAGAAUCUGGCAGAGGGGGGGUGGAAUUCCACGUGUAGCAGUGAAAUGCGUAGAGAUGUGGAGGAACACCGAUGGCGAAGGCAGCCCCCUGGGCUGAGAUUGACGCUCAGGCACGAAAGCGUGGGGAGCAAACAGG
rnacentral:rRNA from 1 species